AUCCCCGCAUUCCUGUGAAAUGCUAAUUCCUGUGAACGUUGUCACACAGGGAGGAACGUUACAGUUUGUACCUGCCUCCGGGCAUCGUCAUCCGCAGGGAGGUUUGCAGAAGGCUUUGAUCCCCGCCGGCCGCCCCCUCCCCGUGGCAGGUCCCCAGUCCUGCUGCUGGACCACCCUUCACCAAGGACAAACUUCUUCUUGGCCAAGCGUUGUAAUGCCCUUUUCCCAGACGUGCCUGAGUGACACAAAGUGAUUUUUUUUUUUUAAUGAUGUUUUUAAUCUCUUUUCACCCCUGCCUAUGCCUUGCAUUAGUCCCCACGUUGCUCUGAUUGAGUGUGUUGUUCUUGCAGAGACCCUCAGGUGGUCUUAUGCCACCUCCAGCCACAGCAGAGCUGUGCAGGGGCACAGACUGAAAGGCGGCGAGAACUCAGUGUGUUCUGAUGCCUAUUCCCUGUGUGUCUAAGCGUACAAGUGUAAUUCAGCAGCUUAUCAUUCCCAGCACGUCCUGUGGUACGUGAGAUGGAUCCAGACUGCUUGGCUGCUUUGUGUCGGACAGAAGACCCAGUGGCGGGUGAUGGGCCUGCUCCAUCCACUCUGCAGACAAGGAUGUCUUUAGGUCUAUGCCGAAGAAUGACGUAUAUUUUCUCUUUUCUUAUGCCUUUACCCAAAGCUGACACUUUUCCAUCCAAGCUGUAUGAAUGCUGAGCAAGUUUGGGCUUGAACAUGGCCUUGGAGCCAAGCCCACUGGCAGUGCAGAGGUGUCGUGGGUGGCCAGGGGGAUGUUUGCUUCUGCUCCUUUCUGAGGGCCUAUUUUGGUGAGGGAUUGGAGAAAUGUCUCAGAAGCUUGUGAUCACUUGACCCUUCAGACGGUGGAUGGUGAGCCCUCAGCGGCGCUUCUGCCUUAGUUCUCCAGCAUCCAGCAAAGGGAAAAGGUUAAAAAGAAUAAAUUACCAACACUGAUCCCCUGCCCUUUUUGUAAGUGGAGCCUGGAGCUGCUAGAGAGUCCAGAGAGGAAUUUGGGGGAUGGUUGGUUGGUUUAGGGAUGCCUUUUGAGUGCAUAUCCUUAUCCACAUGCUUUUUCUUGUUCAGAUCCGCAGGAAUAUUUGGCCCAAGUCUGGAGUGGAUGUGGUAGCACCACCAGUGAAAGGUAUUCAGCUGGGACUGCAGCUUGAGAGGAGACCGUAAGAACUGGCAGAGCAGGCAGUGGCUCUCCUGCCUGCUUAGAGGGGUCUGUCAGACCGGGACAUGGCGCUGUCUUUGGGCUCGUUUCUGGAAGAAGUGUGACAAAGAGUUUGGGGCGCAGAAAUAACCAGCACAAGAUGGAGUUGUGUGUCAUCGAGGUUGGUAUCCUUUGUUCUCCAGCACCCUGGUUUUUAUUUACCCUCUCCUUCGAACUGUUUGCCUUCUCAAAUCUGAGCAGGGUGUAGCGCUGGGAUCCGCCUGAGACAGGGGAAAGCCUCGAGCUGUUCUUGGAGAUACAUGGAGCCUCCUGCUCUCCUCAGAUGUUGGCUUUACUUAUACCAACAAUAUUAUUAAUUUCAUUUUUCA